AUUUCUUUGUUAAUGUUAAUCACCCACAGAAGUUUCGCCAUUUCAGUCGAACGCCGCUACCGGAGCUUUCUUCUUGGAGCAAUUGCCAAUUCAAAGCUCCAAUCUCCGUCCACACUUCACCGCUAGUGUUCCGGCCGGCAGUGUAGUUUCAGAGAUUGUAAUGGAAGCGCCGUCGUUCUCCAUCGCUGUUUUUUCUUCUUCCUCUUCUUCUAAGACUGUAUUUCGAUCACUUUCAUCGUCGUCUCAUACCAGCUCUCUCAUUUGUCGUCGCAACAAUCAUUACAAAAGUCGUCAUAUCAAAGUCAAGUCCUCCGGUAAGUUGGCAGUUCGUGCCUCAUUUGGUGGUGACUCAGUUGUGACUUUGCUGGAUUACGGGGCUGGUAAUGUUCGUAGUGUGAGAAAUGCAAUUCGUUACCUUGGCUUUGACAUCAAAGAUGUGCAAACUCCAGAAGACAUUCUAAAUGCAAAAUGCCUAAUAUUUCCUGGAGUUGGGGCAUUUGCUCCUGCCAUGGAUGUGCUAAACAGUAAAGGCAUGGCUGAAGCACUUUGCACUUACAUAGAGAAUGAUCGCCCGUUUUUAGGCAUUUGUCUUGGGCUUCAACUACUCUUUGAGUCAAGCGAUGAGAAUGGACCAGUAAAAGGUCUUGGCUUAAUACCUGGUGUGGUUGGACGUUUUGACUCUUCCAAUGGUUUUAGGGUACCCCAUAUUGGGUGGAAUGCUUUGGAAAUCUCAGAGGACUCUGAGAUAUUGGAUGAAAUUUCUAACCGUCAUGUCUACUUUGUUCACUCUUACCGUGCUAUGCCAUCAGACAAGAACAAGGACUGGAUUUCUUCUACUUGCAGCUAUGGUGACAGGUUUAUAGCUUCAGUUAGAAGGGGAAAUGUUCAUGCAGUUCAAUUCCACCCAGAAAAAAGUGGAGAUGUAGGUCUGUCUGUCCUAAGAAGAUUCUUGUUUCCAAAGUCGACUGUGACCAAGAAGCCUACUGAGGGAAAGGCAUCAAGGCUUGCAAAAAGGGUAAUUGCUUGUCUUGAUGUGCGGACAAAUGACCAAGGGGACCUUGUCGUUACCAAAGGGGACCAAUACGAUGUAAGGGAGCAGACAGAAGAGAAUGAGGUGAGGAACCUUGGCAAGCCGGUAGAGCUUGCUGGACAGUACUACAAGGAUGGUGCUGAUGAGGUCAGUUUUUUGAAUAUAACUGGUUUCCGUGACUUCCCUCUCGGAGACUUGCCAAUGUUGCAGGUGCUGAGAUACACUUCAGAAAACGUUUUUGUACCACUGACUGUUGGGGGCGGGAUUAGAGAUUUUAAGGAUGCUAAUGGCAGACACUAUUCUAGCUUGGAAGUUGCUUCAGAAUAUUUUAGAUCUGGAGCUGAUAAAAUAUCUAUCGGAAGUGAUGCAGUUUAUGCUGCCGAAGAAUAUUUAAGAACUGGCGUAAAGACAGGAAAGAGCAGCUUGGAGCAGAUUUCUAAGGUUUAUGGAAACCAGGCUGUUGUGGUAAGUAUCGAUCCUCGUAGAGUGUACCUUAAAAGUCCCGAUGAUGUAGAGUUCAAAGUCAUACGAGUAACAAACCCAGGUCCUAAUGGAGAAGAAUAUGCAUGGUAUCAGUGUACAGUUAAUGGAGGUCGAGAAGGUCGACCUAUUGGAGCUUAUGAGCUUGCAAAAGCAGUGGAGGAGCUUGGAGCUGGAGAAAUACUGCUGAACUGCAUAGAUUGUGAUGAAUGAAAAACUUCCUACAUGUUGCAAGAACUACAAGGGUUGGGUGGAUAGAGAUCCCUUCAAGGAAUGUCCAGUGAGGAAGUUAACAGGAGGCCUGGCCUCCACUCAGUCAUAGUUAUAGAACCUGUUUGUAUGGACUAGGAGUAAAAAGUUUGAAAAUAAGGUCUGUGGUUUGAAUCCUCCACCCUCUAUUGUACCAAACAACUAUAUAUCCAUUCGAGAGGAACAAGAAGAUUCUUUGGCAAUUUUUCAUCAGCGCUUUUCUUUGGAGCGUUUGGAAAGAACACUUGGAUUUGCUCAUAAAAACACUCCAUUCCCGACUUAGAUUGUAGAACUUAUCUGUAAAACCUCCUAUCGUAUUUACUUAUAAAAAGAAGGGCAAAAAGGGAAACUCACACUUGAAUGCAGUUAAGGAGAUAGUGGGAGGUGAAUACACGGUUUCAACAAACAAAAUAGAGGAGGAGGUCAUUGGAGGAGGGACCACGAGAGGAUGAACAAAAGGGGAGAAGGCUAGAACGAAGAGAGGAGGAAAAAUUACUGAAGAAAAGGGAAGAGUCGAUCUUCAUGGAGGGAUCUCCCAGCAUCUCUCGAAUCCAGAGCUGGGUUGUUUGAUUCUUGUUUUUCUGAGUAUUUCAUUAUUUUUCUUCUGUUUUUGGGUGUGAAUACGUCUGGAACUUGUGGCUGUUUAAGAAGGAAUAGUUCAAUAAGAAGAUCGGUGUUAUUUCUUAUUAUUACCUGUUCUUUUCUUCUUAAUUUCUUUCUGUUUAUUGAUCGUGAAGCUUGUUAGAGAGGUAGUCGAGUGCAGGUUCCUAACAAUAGUGGUAUUAGAGCCGCAAUCCUGGGGAAAACGCGUGCCAUGACACAGAAACAAUUGGAAGAGAAGGUGGACAGCACGGAGAAGGAGAUGGUGGGGCUAAAAGACCUGUUGAUGGGCUUGUGCAAAAACCUCGAGAAGCUCACUGAGGAAGUUCGGGAGAGCAAUGUAGCUCGAAAGAAAGAGGAGUCGACGUUAACCGAGGGGAGCACCCUUAAGGCGAAAGGAAAGAUAGAGGAAGCAGAGUCCUCUCAAAUCUCUGUUGUUGGAAGCUCGGAUAGAGGUAAGUACAAGCGACUCGAAAUCCCUCUGUUUACAGGAGACAAUCCAGAGUCAUGGGUUUACCGCGCGGAGCACUACUUUGAGAUACACGAUCUCUCCGACACCGAGAAAGUUAAGGUAGCAGUGAUCAGCUUUGCCCUCGAUGAAGUCGACUGGUUCUGCUGGAGUAAUAACCGAAGGGCCAUCACUACUUGGGACGAACUGAAGCGAAGGUUGUUUGAACAUUAUCGGAAGGUAGGAGAAGGGAGUCUGUGUGCACGUCUGCUCAAAAUCCGACAGGAAGGUUCUUACCAAGAGUAUGUGAAGAAGUUUGUCAAUUAUUUGGCACCCUUGUCGGACCUAUCGGGGGAGGUUUUGAGGGAUGCAUUUAUGAACGGACUGGAAUCCAGAGUCAUGGGUUUACCGCGCGGAGCACUAUUUUGAGAUACACGAUCUCUCCGACGCCGAGAAAGUUAAGGUAGCAGUGAUCAGCUUUGCCCUCGAUGAAGUCGACUGGUCCCGCUGGAGUAAUAACCGAAGGGCCAUCACUACUUGGGACGAACUGAAGCGAAGGUUGUUUGAACAUUAUCGGAAGGUAGGAGAAGGGAGUCUGUGUGCACGUCUGCUCAAAAUUCGACAGGAAGGUUCUUACCAAGAGUAUGUGAAGAAGUUUGUCAAUUAUUCGGCACCCUUGCCGGACCUAUCGGAGGAGGUUUUGAGGGAUGCAUUUAUGAACGGACUGGAAUCGGAGCUACAAGCUAAAGUCAUUAGUCGAAAUCCCAAAUCCUUGGAUGAAUGUUUGAAGGAAGCACAGUUGGUUAAUGAUAGAAAUAUCGCCCUUAAGUUAUUAUUAAAGGAAAUGGGCAGUAAUUGGGCUGAUCCAAAGAAUGGGCCUGAACAAUAAGGAGUUGGGCGAAAAAACCCAAGGUAGGAAUCAGGACAAACCCUCCAUGAAGCAAGUCGCGAUUCCGGUGAAGCCGAUAUUACCCAUUCUGGCGAAACCCAAUUUUCCCAUAAAAAAAGAGGCACCUCUGAAGAGGUUGAGUGACGCGGAGUUCAGAGACCGGCUGGAUAAGGGACUCUGUUUUCGUUGCAAUGAAAAAUACGCACCCGGGCAUCGAUGUAAAUUCAAGGAGAAUAGGCAACUGAUGCUAUUCAUAACCAACGAGGAGGAAGAAAUAGGGGAAGAAGAGAUAGCAGAAGGGGAAGAAGUGGCCGAAAUAAAGAAUAUUGAGGUGAGGGAGAAGGCAGAGCUAUCACUGAACUCACUACUUGGGUUUUCUGCGAAGGGAACCAUGAAGCUAAGGGGAGAAAUCAGAGGAAAAGAGGUGGUAGUACUCAUCGACUCCGGUGCUACACACAACUUUAUACAUCAUGAUACAGUGAGGGAACUUGGAUUACCGGUGGAACAUCAAAAAAAAUUUUGGGUGGUUAUAGGAAAUGGGAGCGAGAUAGAAGGUAAGGGGAUAGAGCUCAAACUACCGAACUUGACAGUGAAGGCUGACUUCUUGGCAAUGGAAUUGGGGAGAAUGAAUGUAGUCCUUGGGAUGCCCUGAUUGUGUACCAUAGGAUUCAUGGGUAUUCAUUGGCCCUCUUUAACCAUGGCUUUCUGGUCAGGGGAAGCUCAGGUCAUGUUGAGGGGGGAUCCAUCCCUCACUAAAGUUGAAGUAUCUUUUAAAACAUUGAGUAAGCAGUGGGAUGAAGAAGAUCUGGGAUUCUUGAUGGACUUCCAGCACCUUGAGAUUGAGGAUUCUGAAGGGACAGAGAAGGGGGAGAAAGACCAAGUUCGAUCCAUGCUACCCAUCAUGAUCCAGGAGCUGUUGGACCAAAAUCAAGAUAUCUUUUCCUUGUCCACCUCCCUUCCUCCUAGAAGAGCAGUCGAUCACAGGAUAACCAUCAAGGAGGGCAUAAAUCCAAUCAACGUUCGACCAUAUAAGUAUGGCUAUGCAUAGAAAGAAGAGACAGAGAAGUUAGUCCAGGAAAUACUACAAGCAGGCUUCAUUCGGCCCAGUCGAAGUCCCUACUCAAGUCCAGUACUGUUGGUGAAAAAGAAAGACGGUGGAUGGCGAUUUUGUGUAGACUACCGGAGGUUGAACCAAGCUACAAUAGUAGAUAAGUUCCCUAUUCCUGUAAUCGAAGAACUACUUGAUGAGUUGCACGGGGCUGUGGUCUUUUCUAAGCUCGAUUUGAAGUCUGGGUACCAUCAAAUCCGAAUGAGGGAGGAAGACAUUGAGAAGACAGCAUUCAGGACCCAUGAAGGACACUACGAGUUCUUGGUUAUGCCUUUUGGGCUCACUAAUGCACCCGCGACAUUCCAAUCCCUCAUGAAUCAGGUUUUUAGACCUUUCUUACGCCGUUUUAUACUUGUGUUUUUUUAUGACAUCUUGGUUUAUAGUCCAGAUAUUUCAUCCCACAAGACUCACCUGGGGGUAGUAUUUAGUGUGCUAAGGGAUAACCAACUAUUUGCCAAUCAAAAGAAGUGUGUUUUCUGCCAAGAGAGAAUUCAAUACUUAGGGCAUUGGAUCUCACAGCAGGUGGUUGAAGCAGAUGGGGAGAAGAUCCAAGCUAUGGUAAACUGGCUGUGCCCCACAAAUGUGACUAAAUUGAUAGGAUUUUUGGGGUUAACAGGGUAUUACCGCGUUUUGUUAAGGGGUACAGCACCAGAGCAGCUCCUUUAACGAGAUUACUCAAGAAAAAUAGUUUCAAUUGUGAUGAAGCAGCCACCCGAGCCUUUGAGGAUUUGAAACAGCAGAUGAUAUUGUGCCCUGUUCUCGCAUUGCCGGAUUUCAAUCAACCUUUCAUCAUAGAAACUGAUGCCUCAGGGACCAGAGUGGGGGCUUUGCUAACUCAAGGGGACAAGCCAAUCGCCUUCUUCAGUCAAAAACUUUCACCACGGGCACAAAAUAAGUCAAUCUAUGAGAAGGAAUUAAUGGCAGUGGUAUUAGCUGUCCAAAGGUGGAGACAUUAUCUGUUAGGGGGUAGAUUCACGGUCAUCUCAGAUGAAAAAGCAUUGAAAUUUCUAAUAGAACAGAGGGAAGUGCAACCACAAUUCCAGCGCUGGUUAACCAAGCUCCUAGGAUACGAUUUUGAGAUCCUUUACUAGCCGGGACUAAUGAAUAAGGCAGCUGAUGCCCUCUCACAUGUGCAACUCCCCACAGAACUCCUCAGCUUGUACUCUUCAGCAGUGGUAGAUGUGGAGCUCAUUCUUAGAGAGGUGGAAGAGGACGAGGAGCUACAGCAGAUCAUCUCCUUGCUGAAAGACAACACGGAUGGCAAACCUAACUACCAAUGGACAAAGGGCAAGCUACUCUAUAAAGGGAGGUUGGUAAUUCCGAGACAUUCAACUCUAAUACCAUCCCUUCUACACACAUUUCAUGAUUCGAUACUUGGGGGUCACUCAGGGUUUUUGAGAACAUACAAACGGAUGAGUGGUGAGUUGUAUUGGCCGGGAAUGAAAAACGAUAUAAAGAAAUAUGUGGAAGGCUGUGACAUGUGCCAACGGAACAUGUCUGAGUCUCUAAUGCCUGCAGGACUGCUGCAACCACUGCCCAUUCCCGAACUAACUUUAGAAGAAUGGACGAUGGACUUCAUUGAGGGACUUCCGAGAGCAGGGGGUUUCGACUCCAUUUUGGUGGUGGUAGAUAGGUUAAGCAAAUAUGGGCAUUUCAUUCCAUUGAAACACCCCUUUUCAGCUAAACAGGUGGUUGAAAUCUUUAUUCAAGAAAUCAUCAAGCUUCAUGGCAUCCCUAAGUCGAUUACCACGGAUAGGGAUAAGAUAUUCUUGAGUAACUUCUGGAGGGAGAUAUUCACAGCCUUGGGAUCCAAGUUGAGAAGAAGCACGGCUUUCUAUCCUCAAACCGAUGGCCAAACCGAGCGAGUAAAUCACUGCCUAGAGACAUAUUUGAGGUGUUUCUGCAAUUAACAACCCACUAGGUGGAAUAAAUGGCUGGCUUGGGUGGAGUAUUGGUACAACACUACCUUUCAUGUGUCUAUAAGAACCAUACCCUUCCAAGCAAUCUAUGGUAGUACCCCCCACCUCUAGUGCACUAUGGAGAAACAAAGUCAACCAAUGCCAGUUUGGAUAGGCUCUUACAGGACCGAGACCUGGCCUUGAACGCGCUCAAAGAGAAUUUAGUAAUAAUGCAAAACAUAAUGAAGAAGCAAGCCGACCAACAUAGGCGGGAAUUGAAAUUUGAGAUAGGGGAAGAAGUUUUCCUCAAACUACGGCCUUAUCGACAGCGUUCAUUGGCAAAAAGAAAAAGUGAGAAGCUGUCCCCUAGAUUUUUUGGUCCUUAUCAAGUGUCCGAGAAGAUAGGAGAAGUAUCAUACCGUUUGAAUCUACCACUUGAAGCAGCUAUACAAGAUGUGUUUUAUGUCUCUCAACUCGAGAAAAAAUUGGGCAAAUCUCAACAGGUGCAACACUUACCACCGAUGCUCACCGAAGAUUUUAAGCUACAAGUUGCCCCUGAAGUUGUGUCAAGAGUAAGGUGGAAUGGAGAGUUGAAUACACAAGAAUGGUUAGUAAAAUGGAAGGGUCUUCCAGAUAAUGAGGCUACGUGGGAAUCAGCACCAAACAUAAGACAGCAAUUUCCAUCAUUCCACCUUGAGAGGAUAUGGUGUACUUUGAGAGGAACGGUAAUGUAAAACCUCCUAUCAUAUUUACUUAUAAAAGGAGGGGCAAAAAGGGAAACUCACACUUGAAUGCGGUUAAGGAGAUAGUGGGAGGUGAAUACACGGUUUCAACAAACAAAAUAGAGGAGGAGGUCGUUAGAGGAGGGACCACGAGAGGAUGAACAAAAGGGGAGAAGGUUGGAAUGAAGAGAGGAGGAAAAAUUACUGAAGAAAAGGGAAGAGUCGAUCUUCAUGGAGGGAUCUCCCAGCAUCUCUCGAAUCCAGAACUGGAUUGUUUGAGUAUUUUGUUUUUCUGAGUAUUUCAUUUAUUUUUCUUCUGUUUUUGGGUGUGAAUACGUCUGGAACUUGUGGCUGUUUAAGAAGGAAUAGUUCAAUAAGAAGAUCGGUGUUAUUUCUAAUUAUUACUUGUUCUUUUCUUCUUAAUUUCUUUCUGUUUAUUGAUCGUGAAGCUUGUUAGAGAGGUAGUCGAGUGCAGGCAAUUUUUCAUCAGAGCUUUUCUUUGGAGCGUUUGGAAAGAACACUUGGAUUUGCUCAUAAAAGCACUCUAUUCCCGACUCAGAUUGUAGAACUUAUCAUGUCAAGGAAAAGGAUUUGAUACGGAUCUUGUAAAGCUGAUAUCAGAUUCUGUGAGCAUCCCCGUUAUUGCCAGCAGUGGCGCUGGAUCUCCCGACCAUUUCUCUGAGGUGUUUAACAAAACGAAUGCAUCUGCUGCC